rnacentral:rRNA from 1 species
GAUAAACGCUGACAGAAUGCUUAACACAUGCAAGUCGAUGAUGGGAGCUAGCUUGCUAGAAGAAGUCAUGGCGGACGGGUGAGUAACGUGUAAAGAACUUACCAUAUAGACUGGGAUAACAGAGGGAAACUUCUGAUAAUACUGGAUAAGUUAGUAGUAGCAUUACUAAGUAAUGAAAGGUAGCAAUACGCUAUAUGAGAGCUUUGCAUCCUAUUAGCUAGUUGGUGGGGUAAAAGCCUACCAAGGCGAUGAUAGGUAGCCGGCCUGAGAGGGUGGACAGCCACAAGGGGACUGAGAUACGGCCCUUACUCCUACGGGAGGCAGCAGUGGGGAAUAUUGGACAAUGGAGGCAACUCUGAUCCAGCAAUUCCGUGUGUGUGAAGAAGGUUUUAGGACUGUAAAACACUUUUAGUAGGGAAGAAAGAAAUGACGGUACCUACAGAAGAAGCGACGGCUAAAUACGUG